AGAGUUUGAUCCUGGCUCAGAUUGAACGCUGGCGGAAUGCUUUACACAUGCAAGUCGAACGGCAGCACGGGGCAACCUGGUGGCGAGUGGCGAACGGGUGAGUAAUACAUCGGAACGUGCCCAAUCGUGGGGGAUAACGUAGCGAAAGUUACGCUAAUACCGCAUACGAUCUACGGAUGAAAGCGGGGGAUCGCAAGACCUCGCGCGAAUGGAGCGGCCGAUGUCAGAUUAGGUAGUUGGUGGGGUAAAGGCUCACCAAGCCAACGAUCUGUAGCUGGUCUGAGAGGACGACCAGCCACACUGGAACUGAGACACGGUCCAGACUCCUACGGGAGGCAGCAGUGGGGAAUUUUGGACAAUGGGCGCAAGCCUGAUCCAGCCAUUCCGCGUGCAGGAUGAAGGCCUUCGGGUUGUAAACUGCUUUUGUACAGAACGAAAAAGCUCCGGCUAAUACCUGGAGUCCAUGACGGUACUGUAAGAAUAAGCACCGGCUAACUACGUG
rnacentral:rRNA from 1 species